UGGGGAAUUUUGGACAAUGGACGCAAGUCUGAUCCAGCCAUGCCGCGUGCGGGAAGAAGGCCUUCGGGUUGUAAACCGCUUUUGUCAGGGAAGAAACGCUCUGGGCUAAUACCCUGGGGUAAUGACGGUACCUGAAGAAUAAGCACCGGCUAACUACGUGCCAGCAGCCGCGGUAAUACGUAGGGUGCAAGCGUUAAUCGGAAUUACUGGGCGUAAAGCGUGCGCAGGCGGUUAUGCAAGACAGAGGUGAAAUCCCCGGGCUCAACCUGGGAACUGCCUUUGAGACUGCAUAGCUAGAGUACGGUAGGGGGGGAUGAAAUUCCGCGUGUAGCAGUGAAGUGCGUAGAUGUGCAGAGGAACACCGGUGGCGGGGGCAAUCCCCUGGACCUGUACUGGCGCUCAUGCACAAGAGCGUGGGGAGCAAAC
rnacentral:rRNA from 1 species